GUAGGCUCCAGGCUCUGAGCAGUCAGCACAGAGCCUGAUGUGGGUGGGGCUCGAACCCAGGAGCUAUGAGAUAAUGAACUGAGCCGAAGUUAGAGGCUUAACCGACUGAGCCACCCAGGCACCCCUGUAUCUCUGUUUUUGUUCAAAUCUUUUGAAGUAGUUCUUUUAUUAAACUUCCCUCAAUUACUCCAUUUGAGUAUGAUAUCUAUAACAUCUGAUUGACAUAGUAAUUGGUACCAGAAAUGGCCCUGGGAACAAAACCCUCAAAAUGAAAUUCUGGCAUUGGUUUGCUCAUAUAUUAGAGGGCUAUACAACAACUUUGCUAGGAGGAAAUAAGACUCUGGUCAGCUGUAGCAUAUUGUGACAUCACAGUCACUCAAAUUCCCAGUGGUGGCAUGAGAUGAAGUACAGGUGGAGGACUAGCAAUGGGGAGAUCAAAUGGCCCUGGUCAUUAUGGCAAUAGUGAUACUAAGGAUUGUAAGGGCCUAGAGGAUGUUCCUUUAAUGGAGACAUUUAGCUAGCAAAGGAGAACCAGCAUUUUUGAAAAACUCUACGUGACUGACAUCUAUAGGCCAGAGAUGAUGGUGGAAAAUGUUGCACCUAGAAGUGGCAGAUGGCAGUUGAUGGUGCUUAAGUGGCAGAGGCAAGUUGGGCAGAAUUACAAAGAAGCCACAGGAUGAGUGGUAGCCAUGGAUCUACAAUAAUGGCUAAUUGAUCUAACUGCUACAAAUGAAAUUGAUGGGAAGCAUAUCAAGGAUAUAAUGUAUAUCAGAGGAAAAAUUCUAAUUUUGGUGGGCAGAAAUCCAACCUAAAUCAUUGUGGUGGGGAUCCAUGUCCUAAUACUAGUGCCUACACCUAAGGCAGUUCCCAGACCCAAGCUUCUAGAAUGAAGGAAAAAACAUUCUCUUAAAGGAAGGACCCUGCAAGGUGGUCCUAGACAUAUUUUGUCAUUCUCCCCCCAGGCUUUCCUAAAAAUACCUGUGCAUUCAUCAGGGCGACUGGACAUUGGGAGAAAUGGAGAUAUCCAGAUGUCUUGUAGAUUAUUUGAUAGUGGCUUCCAAGUGACCUGAAACCCCACCAUGGUCCGCCAGUUAGAGUGGAAGUUUAAGAAAGUCAGGUAAUUGAAGAAUCUUGGUCCAAGUCUGUCCCAGUGAGGCCAGUAGGACCACAGUUUUUCCCCCAGGCCAAGAAUGUAUAUAGAGAAGAAUAUACUUAAUUAUAUAUAUAAUUAGUAUCUGACAGAAUAUUCACUUUUGUUCUCUGGUGAAAAGAUGAAGUGGAAGGGCCUGGAAAUGUGCCUAUUUUCUUGUUCAUUGCAUAAAAAAACAGUAUAAACCAAAAUCAAUAAUGGAGCUCUGGGUGAAUUUCAGAGAUUUCAAAGACUUGAAAUAUGUAUGAUAGUGAUUUCCACUACAUCCCAAUUUAAUUAGCCUCUUAAUCUUAAUUCUGCUAUUGCAAAAUCCAGAUGAUUCAUGGAUAAUACCUGUAGAUGAGUUGUAAUUGAACUUUAGUAAGCAUCAGAAUCACAGCAGGGUCAUUAAAACAAAGAUUCCUGGGUUCCAUCCCUAGAAUUUCUGAUUUAGCAGGUCUGGGGUAAAACCUAAGAAUUUCCAUUUCUAACAGGUUCUAGGUGAUAGUAAUCUUGCGGGUCCUGAGACCACUCUUUGAAAACUUCUGUCAAAGAUACCCAAAUUUAUUAAGAUGGAAAUGCUAAUUUCAUUUGCUUAUUUCCUGCCAUAUGAUAUACAGCAUUAAGCUAGAUUAAAAAAAAUUCCCCAUUCUUGAAAACAAAAGUACUCAAAGUAAUUUGCCUUUUUGAGGUCAUAUAUCCUUUCUCUCAUGCUUCUGCUCACUGUCAUAAUGUAAACUGAAGGGAAAUUCAUUAUUCUGAUAUCCCAUAGACCAACAAGGUGGCUCAUCAUAUUGAUGAUAUUAUGCUAAUAGACCUAGAGGGCAGGAAAUAUCAAGCAUUCUAGAUACCUUGAUGACACAUAUACGUGGCAGAGAGUAGGAGAUAAACUCUGCAAAAGAUAAGGAACCUAAUAAAUUAGUGAUGUGUUUAGAGAUCUUGUGGUCUGGCAUAUAUUGGAAUAUAACCACAAGAAUAAGAGAUAAAUUGAUGUACCUUAUACUGCCUACCAUGAAGAAAGAAUUAUGGUGCUAGUGGGAUUUGAAAACUUUGUGCAUCACAUUUUAGGGCGUGGUUAUGGCCCAGUUAGUGGGUAGUCCAUAAAUAAACCUUUUGUUUUUUCAGCCUGGUUGAAGUAUAAUUUGUACAAGGUAAAAUUAAUUAAAUUGAUGAAUUUUUACAAAUGUGUUCAAUUGUGUAACAACCACAAGACAACCAAAAUCAUGAUAUAGAACUUCUCCAUCAUCCUGAAAUGUUCCAUUGGGAUUUCACUCAAUCCCCUUACCCCACCCACUUAUCCCUCAUCUGCCUUCUAUUUAUGGUUUUGGCUUUUCUAAACUUCCAUAUAAUGAGAUCACACUGCAUGUAAAUCCUUUAAAUAUGACAUAUUUUUCUCAGCCUGGAUUUCUGAGCCUGGGUGGCUCAGUCAGUUGGGCGUCUGACUACAGUUCAGGUCAUGAUCUCACGGUUGGUUCCUGGGUUCCUGAGUUCGAGCCCCACAUCUGGCUCUGUGCUGACAACUCAGAGCCUGGAGCCUGCUUCAGAUUCUGUUUCCCUCUCUUUCUGCCCCUCCCCCGCUAACACUGUCUCUUUGUGUCUCUCAAAAAUGAAUAAAUGUUAAAAAAAAUUUAAAAAAAUUUUAAAAGAAAUUCACAAGCUGAUUUUCUUUUUUUCUUUUUUUAAAUGCUUAUUUUUGAGAGAGAGAGAGGGCAAGGGGUAGAGAGAGGGAGACACAGAAUCCAAAGCAGGUUCCAGGCUCUGAGCUGUCAGCACAGAGCCCUAUGUGGAGCUCAAACUCAUGAACUACGAGAACAUGAUCUGAGCUGAAGUCAGAUGCUUAACCAACCGUGCCACCCAGGCGCCUCCACGAGCUGAUUUUCAACAUGGCUGUAGCACUUUAUACUUUUAUUUUUUUUUUAAAUAUUAUUUAUUUUGAGUGAGGAAAAGAGAGCAGGGGAGGGGCAUAGAAAGAGGAAGAGAGACAGAAUCUCAAGCAGGCUCCAUAUGCCAUGUGGAGGCCCGAUCAGAGGCUUGAUCCCACCACCUUGAGAUCAUGACCUGAGCCAAAAUCAAGAGUCUGACACCCAACUGAGCCACCCAGGCACCCUGGAUGUAGUACUUUAAAUUCUCACUAGCAGUGUAUAACAUUUAUAGGUGCUCUACAUUUCCAUCAGAAUAUGGUACUGUUAGUUUAUUAUUUUUUUAAAUUUCAGUUAUUCUCAAAGAUGUGCAGUAGUAUCACAUUUUGGUUUUUAUUUGUAUUUCCAUAAUAACUGAAGAUUUUGAAUAUCUUUAUCAUCUAUAUAUCUUCUUUGGUGAAAUGUCUGUUCAAUUUUUGUAUCUAUUAAAGUUUUCUUAUUGUUGAACUUUGAGAGUUUGUUAAACAUUCUGGAUACACAUCCUUUGUUAAAUACAUGAUUUGCAAAUAUUUUCUCCUAGUCUAUGGCUUGUCUUUUCAUUCUCUUGACAGUCUUUUACAGAGAAAGUUUAAAAUUUUGAUGAAGCCUAAUUUAUGGAUUUUUUUCUUUUAUGGAUUAUGCUUUUGGUGUCAUGGUUGAAAAGUUUUUGCCUAACCCCAUGUCAUGAAGAUACUGUUCCUGUAUUUUCUUUUAAAAGUUUUACAUUUAGAUCUAUAAUAUAUUUUGAGUUAAUUUUCAGAUAAGAUGUGAUGUAUAGGUCAAGUUUCAUUUUUUUUUUUUUAUAUGGAUGCCCAUUUGUUCCUGCACAGUUGGUUCAAAAGAUUCAUUCUCCACUGAAUGGCUUUUGCACUGUUAUCAGUUACCUAUUGACCACCUUUGUGUACUAUUUGCAUACUUCCUAUUUGAAUUCAUUGCUAUAGUUACCUAUCCUGUCACCAAUUUCACACUGGAAUGAUUAUAAAUAAAAAGUUGGAGAAAUUGGAGAAAUUCUUCAGGAAAUUGGAGGAGAAUGAAGUCCCUCUACCUGUUUGCACCUCCUGUCAUAUACCAUUCUCUGAAUUCUAGGAAUUCCUCUUCAGGAUAGCACUUUAAAGAUAUCAAAAUGGAAAGCUGUCUGUCUGACUUUCUCAAAUAUAGACAAUCUUAUAGUAUUGUCUAGCUCUCACAACAUACUGAGAUAAGAUGAUAAG